AGCACUCUUACUGGAGUGAUUUUGCAGGAUCAAAAUGCAAGCAUCACGUAUCUUUUUUCUUCUUCCAGUCUCCAGUCUUCUCCUAGAAUCCCCAGAGGGAAAGCCCAACUGGGAGUCAGCUGGCAAAAGAGAAAAGAUGGUUUGCAGAGUCUCAGUGUCAUCAAGUACAGUAUAGCAGAGAAAGCUGUUUCCAGGGACACAGCCUUGAGACAGUAAUGUGUUAUUAAGACCAUCUGGACUGUGUACAUGAUUGAACUCCAUUAAGGCCUUUAUAGAAACUCAAGAUUCUCUGCUGAUGGGUGUGGAGAUCUACUCAUCCUGCAGCAAUACAAGACAAACCUCAUAGUUCAGCCAGAUGGCAUGCCCCAGGUGUGAAGUUUCAAGCAUGAUUCUAUUCAAAUGUCAAAGUUUCCAGAACAAACUCCGCAUACCAGCCACACUGUCUUUGCUCCAGACCCGAAUUCUCUAGGGGGAGCUUGGAUUCCCUCUAGCAAAGUUCAUAAGCAACCCUCCAUCAAACAGAAGUAGGGAUCUCACUGAAUCUCUUUCUGCUUUUCAAAAGAAUGUGUGGUAAGUGUUUUUUUUGUUUUGUUUUUUUGUUUUUUUGUUUUGUUUUGUUUUGUUUUGCCUACAUCCAGGUUAGAUAAAAGAGAUGUUCUAGGGAAUUAAGUGAGAGGCCCCUUCUC